ACGAACGCUGGCGGCAUGCCUAACACAUGCAAGUCGAACGAGACCUUCGGGUCUAGUGGCGCACGGGUGCGUAACGCGUGGGAACCUGCCCUUAGGUUCGGAAUAACUCCCCGAAUGGGGUGCUAAUACCGGAUAAUGUCUUCGGACCAAAGAUUUAUCGCCUUUGGAUGGGCCCGCGUUGGAUUAGCUAGUUGGUAGGGUAAAAGCCUACCAAGGCGACGAUCCAUAGCUGGUCUGAGAGGAUGAUCAGCCACACUGGGACUGAGACACGGCCCAGACUCCUACGGAGGGGAGCAGUGGGGAAUAUUGGACGAUGGGGGAAGGCCUGAACAAGCAAUGCCGGGUGAGUGAUGAAGGCCUUAGGGUUGUAAAGCUCUUUUACCCGGGAUGAUAAUGACGGUACCGGGAGAAUAAGCUCCGGCUAACUCCGUG
rnacentral:rRNA from 1 species